rnacentral:rRNA from 1 species
UCUGACCUGCCCAUUGGAAAACUGAAAGGCCGCGGUAUUAUGACCGUGCAAAGGUAGCAUCAUCAUUAGUUUUUUAAUUGAAGGCUAGAAUGAAUGGUUGGACAAGAAAUAAUCUGUCUUAAAUUAAUAUAUUGAAUUUAACUUUUAAGUGAAAAGGCUUAAAUGAUCUAAGGGGACGAUAAGACCCUAUAAAACUUUAUAUUUUAAGGUGGAAAAUAAUUUUAUUUUAAAAUUACUAUUUUAAAUUAUUUUGUUGGGGCGACAAGGAUAUAAGAAAGGAUAACUGUCUUUUAUUUUUACAAUAAUAUUUGAAUUAUUGAUCCUAAAAGGGAUUAAAGAUUAAGUUACUUUAGGGAUAACAGCGUAAUUUUCUUUGAGAGUUCUUAUCGACAAGAAAGUUUGCGACCUCGAUGUUGAAUUAAAGGUUCUUUAUAGAGUAGAGACUAUAAGAGAAGGUCUGUUCGACCUUUAAAAUUUUACAUGAUUUGA